CAAUCCCCUGUCUCUAUAUCAGACUACCAGGUUGACCAUCACAAUCCCCUGUCUCUAUAUCAGACUACCAGGUUGACCAUCACAAUCCCCUGUCUCUAUAUCAGACUACCAGGUUGACCAUCACAAUCCCCUGUCUCUAUAUCAGACUACCAGGUCUCUAUAUCAGACUACCAGGUUGACCAUCACAAUCCCCUGUCUCUAUAUCAGACUACCAGGUUGACCAUCACAAUCCCCUGUCUCUAUAUCAGACUACCAGGUCUCUAUAUCAGACUACCAGGUUGACCAUCACAAUCCCCUGUCUCUAUAUCAGACUACCAGGUUGACCAUCACAAUCCUCUG